CUGAGGAGAAACAAGUUUACUUGAGCCUGUUUUAUGACAGACAACAUAUUUAUUACUGGGAUAUGGAUUGCACAUGGGUAGAGAUGUGAGAUACUUACAUCUCAACACAUCCGUGGCUUUCGGAGUAUAUUGACUUAAUGAGAGUUACAGUUGGGAAGACGCCAGUACGCAGAACAUCCGACAGUUGUUUAUUGUUCCGACAGUCUUGUUGAGUGAUAUUUGUCUUUGGAAAGAGUUUUGAUGAGCCCCGCCUUGCUGUCACAGAAGUCAUGGAGAUGUUUUGACAAGGACGUCAGUGGGAACGAGCUCUCGCCUUUUAGUUCUUGCUCCAAGAUGCUACUACAGGCAUCCAGGUUCUUCGCUGGAAAGAACAACCUUGGAUGGUCAUAAAAGCGUCUGGAAACCAGGAACUGAGCCCAGUUGCUUCCACCAGGCACCGCUGCUACAUAAGAGGAGCUGAAGAGAAAAUAGAUGUCCCCAUUGGAACACUAGGAGAGUAACCUCCAAGCAAGCAGAGAACCAGGAAGCACGGCCAGGAUGUAAGGAAGAUGUGACAUACGGGAGUGCUGCUAAAGGUCUAAACUUUAUUUCCUGGCCCCAGCCAUGCAAUAUGGAUCAGAGUCACAUGAUAGGGGUUAGUAUUAAUGGCUACUAUUAACGUGUUCCUUACAUAAUCAGGUGUAAAUAAAGCACGAUAUGAAACCCAAAGGACAAUCGCAGACUAAAUCCAUGUACUUUACAGACAUCUGGGAUGCAGAUCAGAGGAGACAAGCUGAACCCAUGAUGAUGGAAUUAUUUUGCCUCUUACUGGACAUCUGUCAGUAGAGUGACUAUCAUUGAAACCCAAUGGCUUUUUUCAGAGUAGCAGCCGCGUUAGUCUGUAUCCGCAGAAAGAACAGGAGUACUUGUGGCACCUUAGAGACUAACAAAUUUAUUAGAUCAUAAGCUUUCGUGGACUACAGCCCACUCCAAUGGCUUUUGGAUCGCACGGUCACUUCUUGUUCUCAAAACAGUUCCCUCUGCAAUUCCCUGUUUGGCCACCAACCAAAGCUUGUGUUUCACCCUGCUCUAGCGCUUCACUUUUAGCAUAGUUUACAACCAUGUCCGCAGGACUCGCCUAUGUUUAUGACCCUGAAAGAGAGCAGGGGAAGAUGUGUCUGAUCAAAGGGACAAAUUCACAUAAUCAAGAGCGUGUUGUGUAUCCAAUUGUUCCAGAAUGCUGUCAAUCCAUUGAGGCUUUUCUAAUUCCCUGCAGGCAGAGCUAGAGACUUGCCUUCAUUUUACAGCCACAAGAAUUUCCCAGAAGGAAAAUAGCUGUAAAUUUUGUCAAGAAGGGGAAGCCCAGUGCUGUGGCUGGGGCCAGGAGUUUAUUUUAGGAAGCAGUAAUCGAUGAUCAGCCAAUUGCAGCCUUGUAAAAUGCAUAUGAGCUGCCUUGUAUUACUGUGUAAUGGACUCACUGUAACUAGGAGCAACUUUAAAAAAAAGUUUCCUUUU